rnacentral:rRNA from 1 species
GACGAACGCUGGCGGCGUGCUUAACACAUGCAAGUCGAACGGACAGGCGCUGCUCUUGUGCGGCGCUCGAGUGGCGAACAGGUGAGUAACACGUGAGUAACAUGUCCUUGACUUUCGGAUAACUUCAGGAAACUGGGGAUAAUACAGGGUAGGAGAUCCUGCUGCACGGUGGGGGUUGAAAGUUUCGGCGGUUGCGGAUGGACUUGCGGCUUAUCAGCUUGCUGGUGGGGUAGUGGAUUACCACGGCUUUGACUGGUAGCCGGCCUUAGAGGGUGACCGGGCACAUUGGUACUGAGAUACGGCCCAGACUCCUACGGGACGCAGCAGUGGGGAAUAUUGCACAAUGGGCGGAAGCCUGAUGCAGCAACGCCGCGUGCGGGAUGACGGCCUUCGGGUUGUAAACCGCUUUCGCCUGUGACGAAGCGUGAGUGACGGUAAUGGGUAAAGAAGCACCGGCUAACUACGUG